UAGGCAGGCUUUCCCUUGCUCUUCAGAAAGCUCCAGACUCCCACUGUGACCUCCUCUCAGUCUCUCCUGGCCCUUUGGCCUAGGCCAGGUCUCACAACUUUUAGUGGUUUGUCUUGCUCUCCUGUAAAAUGUAGCAGUUGAGAACAAUUUUUUCUCUCCCAUUAGAACUAUACACUAUAAACUCCAGACUAUAAACUCCUGGGAGCAAGGGCCACACCAUCCACGAGGGCGGGAUGGAAGGGUCACAUCAGGACAUACGAACGCCAUUGUUUCUUGGGAAACAAAUCAGGGAAUCCGUCUCUUAACCUCAUAGGCUGUGAAGAAUAAAAUCUGAACAUGGAUGUCAGUCAAAAGGAUCAGGGAUAGAUUAAUAAACUCACCGAUUAGGAUCAUGUUAAGUUUUUCCAUUUGCAACAGGCAAGUAUCUCUGUAAUUAAUUAGCUAUAAAGUCCUCAGGCCUAACACACAGGUGGCUUUUAUUGAAAAGACAAAGAGAUUGAAUUUCACAAUUUGCAGGGAUCCUCCUCAAAAGUGACUCCAAAUGGAAGCUUUCAAGAAGAGGGAACUCCUCACAGGACUAGACACCAGACCCUGAUGUAUUGACUUACUGUUUCCUUCAGGAACACAAAGCACUAAUAUCUCACCGGGUAUAUAAAAAGCUUCUGAAACUUUCACAUGCGUAGAACCACCUGGCAUCAGAUAAAAAUGCAGAUUCAGAUUCUGUAACUCAUUCUGUAGGCCAGGUAGGGGGUCGGGGCUGGCACAGAUUCUGCAUUUCUAAGAAGCUCCCAGGUGAUGCUCUUGCUUCUGGUCCAGGGACCACACUGUGAGUAGGGAGGAGCCCAGAACACUCCACUGGAAGCUCGGAGAGUAGGUUCCAGCUCAUCUCCAUCCAGACUUACCGUGGCAAUAAGGGCCUCUCUCUGUGCCUCUCUCCAAGAGUCCCUUCCAAUUCUUAAAAUGGAACAGAAAGCAGUGGCAAGCAUCACACGUAGAGUCUGGAUCAAGGUCUUUCUGUGCCACCUCUGAGCCAUUGGGCAGGCCGCCUCACUUAACGUGCAGAUCACACUUCCCAGGGAUAUCGUAAGAAAGCCUGAGCCAGACCACAAGUCCACCUGCUGCUCAAAGUGGGCAUCUGUUUGUGUUUGGUCGAGAGCAACAGACAUAGAUCCCAGCUAAAUUAAAAGAGGGGAGAAGUGGAAUCUACUGGAAGGAUGUGGGAUUGCUAGGAGAAUAGAAGGUAAGACUGGGCAGCUGGGCCUCAUGAUGGGAGCCAGGCCAAAAGCAGAAGAAAGUCAAACCGCUCUCUUUGCCUUGCAGUGGCCCCAAUUGUUUUCCAUUCUUACAUCACUCCCCUACAAAAGUCAAGGUCCCAGGAGACAGAAAAUGAUGGUCAAGUUUGGGUUUGCAGCAGGGCAGGGUUGGUCCUGAAAGGCAAAUGGAGGAACAGUCACCAAAGAAGGGCAGAUGUGUGCCAGGCAGCCGGGUACAGCGAUGCUCACUGCGGAGUGUAGACCGUGACUUCCCUACGAUGCAUACAGUUCCAGGGGUCCCGCCUAGUGGGGAAAACAGCCAUGUGUGAGCGCACCACAGCCACCUCUCGAAUCCCUUCCUCCAUGAACCCUUCUACCAUAUGCAGCCAGGCGAAACUGCCAUCUUAACACACAGAAUUAACUUGGAACCCACAGAUUACAUUUUAUUUUCGCUGCCAGAACCAGAGGUGGGCUUUAUUCUCAACUCCACUUUCCCCCCCACAAAGAACAUUUUCGCUCUAUUGAACGAAUUAGCAGCAAACAGGAGAGCAAGGACAGAGUCACGGAGCUACAUCUAGGGCUGCUGCUAGGGGGACUCUGAUGCCUCAGCAAAAGUAAAUGGUGCCUGGGAGUCACGGAUUGUAGGGAAGUGUUGGGAGGGAGACUGUGAGCUCUUUGAAAGUUAAGACCACAGGGAUGCCAAUUUGGGCACCAAGGAGGCCCUUCUUCCCUUGCCUGGCUCCUAAGAAGAAUGAUUUCUUUCCUUCCACUCCAAAUAGUCAGGCAGCAAGACAUGUUCUGGAAGAUUUAGCAGAUAGAAGCUUCUGAGAGGGGUUGGGUCUAUGCAGUCCAGUCUAGGAGCCACUGGGCACACACAGCUACCAAGCACCUCAAGCAUGGCUUAGGUCACAUUGAGAGGUGUGCUGGCUGUCACAUACACACUGGCUUUCAAAGACUUACUAUGAACAAAAGAAUGUGACAAAGUGAAGCCCUGAGUCACAAAGAUGCUCUUCCUUGCUGCCAUAUGUGAAAAUGCUCCUGGACUGAAGAUGAGUAACAACUGUGAAUGGAGUCUCUUUUUCAUUUUAUUUUCUAAUAGGUAUUACUGGUAUGCAAUA